rnacentral:rRNA from 1 species
AGCUCCAAUAGCGUAUAUUAAAGUUGUUGUGGUUAAAAAGCUCGUAGUUGGAUCUCGGCAGUCAGUCUGAGGGCGGUUUGCUCGAUUGCGUGCUACUGCUCUAUAGGCCGUGGUUUUGCCAGAGGUCUCGGGGUGCUCUUAACCGAGUGUCCUGCGAUGCUGGCAGGUUUACUUUGAAAAAAUUAGAGUGCUCAAAGCAGGCUUUUACGCCUGAAUAUUCGUGCAUGGAAUAAUAGAAUAGGAAGUCGUUUCUAUUUUGUUGGUUUUCGGAAAUCGACUUAAUGAUUAACAGGGGUGAAAUUCUUGGACCGUUUGAAGACAAACUACUGCGAAAGCAUUUGCCAAGAAUGUUUUCA